rnacentral:sRNA from 1 species
UAUCUUAAGACUAACACUAUAAGAACCAGUUUAUUUUAGAGAAUGCUGUUGCUUUGACACACUAAACACAGUAAAAUGUACUUAAGAAACUGCCUUAUAAACUAUUAAACGUAGAAUAUUGUAUAUCCAGUUAUUGAUUUCCCUGCAGGUGAAAAUAGCUAGACUGCCAGCACUGGAACUCGAACCAAGAUCGUUCGGCAGUCGCUGCUCGCGUAUAUUUCGCAUUGGUUAUUAGUGUUUUGGCGUUGUUAUAUUGUCGUUUUCCUUCGCUGAUAAGAGUAGCUUACGCACACCAGCGCGCGUGGAUCACACACAGAUACUCACCUGUGGUAGCUGAUUGAGUUUUCGCUUUUUGGUUUUUUGGCGGCACGAUCUCGGCCCGAUUGCUCCGGUUGACAACGGUUCGUGCUCUGGAGUCACAAGUCCACCUAUCGAAUUUCUUCGACAGUCCAUAAUUGGCGUAUACGUAAUACGUAAUAAACAUGCCCGCGUCGCCGUCGCCGUCGCUUUCCUCAUUUUGGUUGAAUUCUGUGGCAAUGGCAAGGCAUUCUGAAACAAAAGCGAGCUCUAUUCGCGGACUGCAUUAUCGGGCCAGUUUACAAUGCCUAUAUAUUCACAACGGAUCCAUCAAUAGGCGGUCUGACUUGUUAAGGCUCUUUGUGGCUGCUCGUGAAUCAGAGUUACUUCACCGAUUAGCUUCCUUGUUCGCUGCUCAUCGAUCCCUUGUGGUUAAUUAGCAUUCGCGGAGCACUCAUUCUCUGAAUUUGUAGGACAAAGAGUUGGAUUUUAAGCUCUAAAGAGUAUCAGAGAAAUAGGACUUUAACUUUCAGAUAGCCAGUCUUAUACUUCCGAGAAUAUUGAGAUAUGGGAAGAUCCACCUGAAUACUCACCAGAUAAGGAUCUCCACCCAAGCCGCAUUGCUUUACCAACUUUGCAAAUCCUCCGAUGAAUGCUAAACAAAUUUCUCACACACCUGAAAUUUUGCUCAACCGGAUCGAAGACCAUAAUUGUAACGGUUCAGCAAGAUACAGGCGCGAAUGAAAUAUGCCGCCAAAGGACUUGGACACAACCAGGACAAAUGAAUCACCAAGUAGAUAUGACUAGCACUGGAACUGCGUGUGGCACUGGAACCGGGACCGCAACUUUUCCUGGCCACGCUCGGAUUCGAACUGAUGGCCAGAAGUCAGCGCCAGUCUGUAGGUAGCCACUUGUGAUCAACCCGGACCCGGGCGACCCAUCUAACUAUGUGAAAGCGCAUUAGAACUGGAGAAUCGACUCGACUCGGCGCAGAACAAAAGGAAGCGCUGACAAUGCCGGCUGCCUGGUUGGCUGAGUGCCUCGGUUGGGGUUGGCUGGCUGGCACUGGCAAUGGGAUUUGGGACUGGGACUGAUGGACAGACGGAACGGAGCAGACCGGCUGACUGGCUGAAUGGCCAAGUGGAAGCGGAGCGACAGCUGACACCAUCGGCGAACGCGCCUUUUUAACGAGCGACCAACGCGACCCCACCUAGUAUCACCCGACCCGGAGUGAUUACAUAGAGCCCAGAUGGAAUUGGAAUUGGAAUCGGCAGUGAAGACGGAGAUGCCUCUGCCCCCGAGGUCCUCAUGACGUGUGCCCGCCCAGAGACUGGGCUCGGACCUAUAGCAACCGCGGGAUCCUGGCAUAUAUCCUGCCAUUUAUACGCACCUCUAAAUAAAUGGGUUAAUGACUUGGCAAAUGCAUAUCCUAAUUAAAUUUGGGUCCCACAAGCAGCUUGGAGUUAAAAGAAAAAGUAAUUGAAUAACCCACUUUUAAAAGCAGAAAUCCCACCUCUCAGCCAUGA